rnacentral:rRNA from 1 species
GACAGAGGGUGCAAACGUUGCUCGGAAUCACUGGGCGUAAAGGGCGUGUAGGCGGGCAGGAAAGUCAGAUGGGAAAUCCCUGGGCUCAACCCAGGAACUGCAUUUGAAACUCCCUUUCUUGAGUACCGGAGAGGAAGGUGGAAUGCCUGGUGUAGAGGUGAAAUUCGUAGAUAUCAGGCGGAACACCAGUGGCGAAGGCGGCCUUCUGGACGGUAACUGACGCUGAGACGCGAAAGCGUGGGGAGCAAACAGG